rnacentral:rRNA from 1 species
CCUACGGGUGGCAGCAGUGAGGAAUAUUGGUCAAUGGACGCAAGUCUGAACCAGCCAUGCCGCGUGCAGGAAGACGGCCCUAUGAGUUGUAAACUGCUUUUGUACGAGGGUAAACGCAGAUACGCGUAUCUGUCUGCAAGUAUCGUACGAAUAAGGAUCGGCUAACUCCGUGCCAGCAGCCGCGGUAAUACGGAGGAUUCAAGCGUUAUCCGGAUUUAUUGGGUUUAAAGGGUGCGUAGGCGGUCGGAUAAGUUAGAGGUGAAAUCCCGAGGCUCAACUUCGGAAUUGCCGCUGAUACUGUUCGGCUAGAGAGUAGUUGCGGUAGGCGGAAUGUAUGGUGUAGCGGUGAAAUGCUUAGAGAUCAUACAGAACCCCGAUUGCGAAGGCAGCUUGCCAAGCUACUUCUGACGUUGAGGCACGAAAGCGUGGGGAUCGAACAGGAUUAGAUACCCGAGUAGUC